rnacentral:rRNA from 1 species
UGGUUUGAUUAUGGCUCAGGAUGAACGCUAGCGACAGGCUUAACACAUGCAAGUCGAGGGGCAGCACAGGUAGCAAUACCGGGUGGCGACCGGCGCACGGGUGAGUAACGCGUAUGCAACUUGCCUAUCAGAGGGGGAUAACCCGGCGAAAGUCGGACUAAUACCGCAUGAAGCAGGGGCCCCGCAUGGGGAUAUUUGCUAAAGAUUCAUCGCUGAUAGAUAGGCAUGCGUUCCAUUAGGCAGUUGGCGGGGUAACGGCCCACCAAACCGACGAUGGAUAGGGGUUCUGAGAGGAAGGUCCCCCACAUUGGUACUGAGACACGGACCAAACUCCUACGGGAGGCAGCAGUGAGGAAUAUUGGUCAAUGGGCGUAAGCCUGAACCAGCCAAGUCGCGUGAGGGAUGAAGGUUCUAUGGAUCGUAAACCUCUUUUAUAAGGGAAUAAAGUGCGGGACGUGUCCCGUUUUGUAUGUACCUUAUGAAUAAGGAUCGGCUAACUCCGUGCCAGCAGCCGCGGUAAUACGGAGGAUCCGAGCGUUAUCCGGAUUUAUUGGGUUUAAAGGGUGCGUAGGCGGCCUUUUAAGUCAGCGGUGAAAGUCUGUGGCUCAACCAUAGAAUUGCCGUUGAAGCUGGGGGGCUUGAGUAUGUUUGAGGCAGGCGGAAUGCGUGGUGUAGCGGUGAAAUGCUUAGAUAUCACGCAGAACCCCGAUUGCGAAGGCAGCCUGCCAAGCCAUGACUGACGCUGAUGCACGAAAGCGUGGGGAUCAAACAGGAUUAGAUACCCUGGUAGUCCACGCAGUAAACGAUGAUCACUAGCUGUUUGCGAUACAGUGUAAGCGGCACAGCGAAAGCGUUAAGUGAUCCACCUGGGGAGUACGCCGGCAACGGUGAAACUCAAAGGAAUUGACGGGGGCCCGCACAAGCGGAGGAACAUGUGGUUUAAUUCGAUGAUACGCGAGGAACCUUACCCGGGUUUGAACGCAUUCGGACCGAGGUGGAAACACCUUUUCUAGCAAUAGCCGUUUGCGAGGUGCUGCAUGGUUGUCGUCAGCUCGUGCCGUGAGGUGUCGGCUUAAGUGCCAUAACGAGCGCAACCCUUGCCACUAGUUACUAACAGGUAAAGCUGAGGACUCUGGUGGGACUGCCAGCGUAAGCUGCGAGGAAGGCGGGGAUGACGUCAAAUCAGCACGGCCCUUACAUCCGGGGCGACACACGUGUUACAAUGGCGUGGACAAAGGGAUGCCACCUGGCGACAGGGAGCGAAUCCCCAAACCACGUCUCAGUUCGGAUCGGAGUCUGCAACCCGACUCCGUGAAGCUGGAUUCGCUAGUAAUCGCGCAUCAGCCAUGGCGCGGUGAAUACGUUCCCGGGCCUUGUACACACCGCCCGUCAAGCCAUGGGAGCCGGGGGUACCUGAAGUCCGUAACCGCGAGGAUCGGCCUAGGGUAAAACUGGUGACUGGGGCUAAGUCGUAACAAGGUACCC